rnacentral:rRNA from 1 species
GACGAACGCUGGCGGCGUGCCUAAUACAUGCAAGUCGAACGAACCGCGACUGAGUGCUUGCACUAAGUCAAGGUGAGUGGCGAACGGGUGAGUAACACGUGGGUAACCUACCUCAUAGUGGGGGAUAACAGUCGGAAACGACUGCUAAUACCGCAUAGGACAUAGGAUCACAUGAUCCAGUGAGGAAAGGUGGCGCAAGCUAUCGCUAAGAGAUGGACCCGCGGUGCAUUAGCUAGUUGGUAGGGUAAAGGCCUACCAAGGCGAUGAUGCAUAGCCGACCUGAGAGGGUGAUCGGCCACAUUGGGACUGAGACACGGCCCAAACUCCUACGGGAGGCAGCAGUAGGGAAUCUUCCGCAAUGGACGCAAGUCUGACGGAGCAACGCCGCGUGAGUGAAGAAGGUCUUCGGAUCGUAAAGCUCUGUUGUUAGAGAAGAACAGCGCAUAGAGUAACUGUUAUGCGUGAGACGGAUCUAACCAGAAGCC